rnacentral:rRNA from 1 species
UACGUAGGGUGCGAGCGUUAAUCGGAAUUACUGGGCGUAAAGCGUGCGCAGGCGGUCUGUUAAGACCGAUGUGAAAUCCCCGGGCUUAACCUGGGAAUGGCGUUUGGGACUGGGUCGCUAGAGUGUGGCAGAGGGAGGUGGAAUUCCACGUGUAGCAGUGAAAUGCGUAGAGAUGUGGAGGAACACCGAUGGCGAAGGCAGCCUCCUGGGCCAGCACUGACGCUCAUGCACGAAAGCGUGGGGAGCAAACAGG